GACUCUCGGCAACGGAUAUCUCGGCUCUGCAUCGAUGAGACGUAGCGAAAUGCGAUACUUGGUGUGAAUUGCAGAAUCCCGUGAACCAUCGAGUCUUGAACGCAAGUUGCGCCCGAGCCAUUAGGCCGAGGGCACGCCUGCCUGGGUGUCA
rnacentral:rRNA from 1 species